rnacentral:lncRNA from 1 species
UGUUUGUAAUUGAUAUGUACGAAAUAUUAUUGUCAAAAAAGGUAUUUUGCAAUAACAAAUAACAACGAAUAUGACUACAUGAACUACCGCAACAUAUUAUCACUACAUAUGGUGAUUAUUUUUCUUUUUGAACUGUCAGGUUAAUUUAAACUUUUUACAUCUUAAAACAGUUGAAUCAUGUCAAGAUCUACAGAAGAACAACAACGUCGUCUAUCAUUUUAUUUUUAGAUCGUAUGUUAUUAAUUUUAUGCUUUAUUGUAGUCCAUGUAUGUUGAUAUACUUAUUCCAUGAUAAUUCUAUGUUUAUCCUUUUGUGUGAUGUAAAUUAAAUGUUGAAUGGCGG